rnacentral:rRNA from 1 species
AAGUCACGGCUAACUACGUGCCAGCAGCCGCGGUAAUACGUAGGUGGCAAGCGUUGUCCGGAUUUAUUGGGCGUAAAGCGAGUGCAGGCGGUUUUUUAAGUCUGAUGUGAAAGCCUUCGGCUUAACCGAAGAAGUGCAUCGGAAACUGGGAAACUUGAGUGCAGAAGAGGAGAGUGGAACUCCAUGUGUAGCGGUGAAAUGCGUAGAUAUAUGGAAGAACACCAGUGGCGAAGGCGGCUCUCUGGUCUGUAACUGACGCUGAGGCUCGAAAGCGUGGGUAGCAAACAGGAUUAGAUACCCUGGUAGUCCACGCCGUAAACGAUGAAUACUAAGUGUUGGGGGGUUUCCGCCCCUCAGUGCUGCAGCUAACGCAUUAAGUAUUCCGCCUGGGGAGUACGACCGCAAGGUUGAAACUCAAAGGAAUUGACGGGGGCCCGCACAAGCGGUGGAGCAUGCGGUUUAAUUCGAAGCAACGCGAAGAACCUUACCAGGUCUUGACAUCUUCUGCCAAGCUGAGAGAUCAGCCGUUCCCUUCGGGGACAGAAUGACAGGUGGUGCAUGGUUGUCGUCAGCUCGUGUCGUGAGAUGUUGGGUUAAGUCCCGCAACGAGCGCAACCCUUAUGAUUAGUUGCCAGCAUUCAGUUGGGCACUCUAGUCAGACUGCCGGUGAUAAACCGGAGGAAGGCGGGGAUGACGUCAAAUCAUCAUGCCCCUUAUGACCUGGGCUACACACGUGCUACAAUGGGUGAUACAACGAGCAGCGAGACCGCGAGGUCAAGCGAAUCUCUAAAAACCAUCCUCAGUUCGGAUUGUAGGCUGCAACUCGCCUGCAUGAAGCUGGAAUCGCUAGUAAUCGCGGAUCAGCACGCCGCGGUGAAUACGUUCCCGGGCCUUGUACACACCGCCCGUCACACCAUGAGAGUUUGUAACACCCAAAGCCGGUAGGACAACCGCAAGGAGUCAGCCGUCUAAGGUGGGACAAAUGGUUAGGGUGAAGUCGUAACAAGGUAGCCGUAGGAGAACCUGCGGCUGGAUCACCUCCUUUCUAA